rnacentral:rRNA from 1 species
UUGGAGGGCAAGUCUGGUGCCAGCAGCCGCGGUAAUUCCAGCUCCAAUAGCGUAUAUUAAAGUUGUUGCAGUUAAAAAGCUCGUAGUUGAAUUUCGGGAUUUAUCCGUUGGUCGGGCUUUUGGGUCUGUACUGGCGUGAUGGAUUUCUACCUUCUGAAUAACCGGCAUGUCAUUAAUUUGGUGCGCCGGGGAAGCAGGACUGUUACCUUGAAAAAAUUAGAGUGCUUAAAGCAGGCUAUUGCCUGAAUACAUUAGCAUGGAAUAAUGAAAUAGGACGGCAUGGUUCUAUUUUGUUGGUUUCUAGGAUCACCGUAAUGAUUAAUAGGGAUAGUUGGGGGCAUUAGUAUUCAAUUGUCAGAGGUGAAAUUCUUGGAUUUAUUGAAGACUAACUUCUGCGAAAGCAUUUGCCAAGGAUGUUUUCAUUAAUCAAGAACGAAAGUUAGGGGAUCGAAGACGAUCAGAUACCGUCGUAGUCUUAACCAUAAACUAUGCCGACUAGGGAUCGGAUGAUGUUAAUUCUUUAAUGACUCAUUCGGCGCCUUACGGGAAAC